rnacentral:rRNA from 1 species
AACGAACGCUGGCGGCAUGGCUAAAACAUGCAAGUCGCACGCGAAAAUUGAAGCAAGCUUGCUUGUGGAUAUGACUAGAGUGGCGAAAGGGCGAGGAAUACAUGGGUAACGUACCUCAAUCUCAGGGAUAGCCGCGGGAAACUGCGGGUAAUACCUGAUGAGACCGUAGUGUCGUAGGGCACAGCGGUCAAAGGCAGGGAUCCUUCGGGACCAGUCGGAUUGAGAGCGGUCCAUGUCCUAUCAGCUAGUUGGUGUGGUAACGGCUCACCAAGGCAACGACGGGUAGCGGGACUGAGAGGUUGAUCCGCCGCAUUGGGACUGAGACACUGCCCAGACUCCUACGGGAGGCUGCAGUAACGAAUAUUGGGCAAUGAGCGAAAGCUUGACCCAGCAAUGCCGCGUGUAGGAUGAAUCCCUUCGGGGUGUAAACUACUGUCAGGGACUACCAAGCGAUGAGGGUUAACAGCCCUUUGAGUUGAGGCGUCCCGGAGGAACG